UNGCAAGUACAGGUGUCUAAGAAAGUGGC
rnacentral:piRNA from 1 species